rnacentral:misc_RNA from 1 species
GUGAAUCAUCGAAUCUUUGAACGCAAAUUGCACUCUCUGGUAUUCCGGAGAGUAUGCCUGUUUGAGGAUCAGUUUAAAUAAAAAUCGGUGUGGUUGCUGCCUUUCGUGGUGACGUACGGGAUUUGGGUCGUCUUGCCUUCGGUUGAGUAACCUAGUAUUGUGUAUGAUUUUUUCGAACGUAUUUAAAUGUAUUUACGUACGUUUGCGAUAUCGAAUUCUA